rnacentral:rRNA from 1 species
UGGGGAAUAUUGCACAAUGGGCGAAAGCCUGAUGCAGCGACGCCGCGUGAGGGAUGACGGCCUUCGGGUUGUAAACCUCUUUCAGCAGGGAAGAAGCGAAAGUGACGGUACCUGCAGAAGAAGCGCCGGCUAAUUACGUGCCAGCAGCCGCGGUAAUACGUAGGGCGCGAGCGUUGUCCGGAAUUAUUGGGCGUAAAGAGCUCGUAGGCGGUCUGUCGCGUCGGAUGUGAAAGCCCGGGGCUUAACCCCGGGUCUGCAUUCGAUACGGGCAGACUAGAGUGUGGUAGGGGAGAUCGGAAUUCCUGGUGUAGCGGUGAAAUGCGCAGAUAUCAGGAGGAACACCGGUGGCGAAGGCGGAUCUCUGGGCCAUUACUGACGCUGAGGAGCGAAAGCGUGGGGAGCGAACAGGAUUAGAUACCCUGGUAGUCCACGCCGUAAACGGUGGGAACUAGGUGUUGGCGACAUUCCACGUCGUCGGUGCCGCAGCUAACGCAUUAAGUUCCCCGCCUGGGGAGUACGGCCGCAAGGCUAA